GAUGAACGCUAGCGGCAGGCCUAAUACAUGCAAGUCGAACGGGAUCCAGAUCAAAGCUUGCUUUGGUCUGGUGAGAGUGGCGCACGGGUGCGUAACGCGUGAGCAACCUACCCUUGUCAGGGGGAUAGCCCGGCGAAAGUCGGAUUAAUACCGCAUGACAUCAUUGAGAGGCAUCUUUCGAUGAUCAAAGAUUUAUCGGACAAGGAUGGGCUCGCGUGACAUUAGCUAGUUGGUAAGGUAACGGCUUACCAAGGCUGCGAUGUCUAGGGGCUCUGAGAGGAGAAUCCCCCACACUGGUACGGAGACACGGACCAGACUCCUACGGGAGGCAGCAGUAAGGAAUAUUGGUCAAUGGACGGAAGUCUGAACCAGCCAUGCCGCGUGCAGGAGGACGGCCCUAGGGGUUGUAAACUGCUUUUAUACGGGAUCAAACGUCGGUACGUGUACCGGUCUGAGUGUACCGUAAGAAUAAGGAUCGGCUAACUCCGUG
rnacentral:rRNA from 1 species